CCUACGGGAGGCAGCAGUAGGGAAUAUUGCUCAAUGGGGGAAACCCUGAAGCAGCAACGCCGCGUGGAGGAUGAAGGUUUUCGGAUUGUAAACUCCUUUUGUUAGAGAAGAUAAUGACGGUAUCUAACGAAUAAGCACCGGCUAACUCCGUGCCAGCAGCCGCGGUAAUACGGAGGGUGCAAGCGUUACCCGGAAUUACUGGGCGUAAAGAGAGCGUAGGCGGGAUUGCAAGUCAGCUGUGAAAUCCUAUGGCUUAACCAUAGAACUGCAUUUGAAACUGUUAUUCUAGAGUACGGGAGAGGUAAGUGGAAUUCUUGGUGUAGCGGUAAAAUGCGUAGAGAUUAAGAGGAAUACU
rnacentral:rRNA from 1 species